AAACCCGAUACCGUUCUCGUAGCAAGCCGUUAUGUUACUGCCGGUGUUCUUGCCAACCAGCAGCGGUCUUGUACCACGUGACCAUAGCAAAUGACGACACGUUAGCGUCUCCCAUAGUACUGAAAGCAGUGGCGACUUGUAGUUUUUGGGAAACGUUUUAGUGCGUAAUGCCAUGUCAAAAAGACUCAAAAGCUCGGCAAAACGCAUCGAAGAUGCAUUGGAAUAUCGGGAAGGACUUGGAUCGCUCGAGAAAUCUCGAUAUUUCGAGAAGUUGCGGUUUAUUUGUGGCGCAGAUCCGCACGAGUUGGCUCCCUCCUCCUGGACCCACGACGACCCGGCCAUUCUUCCUUCAAUCACGUAUCCCAAUAUAGUCAACUACUUAGUUUUUUCACCGAGUCCAUACACAUCGGAAGACCUAAAAUCUUAUAAAGGUUUGGAGGCCUACAACCAGAUGGUGUGUGGAUGGGUGAGGGAGACCCAGUACCAGGUCAUCAACGACCAUUGUGUUGUGAAAGCAAAGGUACUCCAUUCUCAAUCAAUCAAAGAGAAACCACUGGAACCCUGGAUCAUUGCAGAGAAGUCUGGACGUGUACUUGGAGCCCACUGCACAUGUAUGGCAGGCCUUGGAGAGACAUGCUCGCAUGUUGCUGCAUUACUGUUUCUUAUCGAAGAAACAGUAAAGUUAAGGGACUCAAAGACAGUGACACAAGAAAAGGCUUACUGGUUGCGGCCUACUGCAAUGUCAAAGGUGGACUAUAAGGAAUGCCAGAAAAUUGACUUCACUGUCAAGAAGAGGAGUCAUUUAAACGAGUAGGCUAUAUGAAUUGUGCCACUCAUGGACAGUCACUUGGAGAAUCUUCUAGUGUUCAUUCAAGUGUUCCAGUUAGGAAAACAAAACAGCCAACAAGUGAUGAGAUCUCAUCACUUUUUAUUGCUCUUCACAAAAGCGGAUCCAAGCCUGCUAUUUUGUCCCUGAUUGAGCCUUAUUCUGACAGUUUUGUACCCAAAGUGAUUGGAGAAAACUUUCCUCCUGUGUUGACUGAACUGAGAAAGGAUGAGGCAAUUCUCAUGGACUAUAAAGAUCUACUGGCCAUGUGCAAAGGCAUUGACAUUACAUUCUCAGAGGAGCAAGCAAAGGCAGUUGAGGCUGCAACAAGGGGCCAAGCUUCCUCUAAACUGUGGUUUCGAUUUCGUGCCGGUCGAAUUACAGCAUCUAAAAUGAAAACUGCAUGUUGCACUGAUCCAAAACAACCAGCACAGAGCUUAGUCAAAAGUGUGUGCUAUCCUGAGUCCUACAAGUUCACAUCAAAAGCCACUACUUGGAGAUGUAAUCAUGAAAAAUUUGCUCGUGACAUGUUCAUAGAUGUGCAUAAGAAAUCUCAUGAAAAUGUGAAAGUACAUGACACAGGUUUUUUCAUUAAUCCAAGUGUGCCGUUCUUGGGUGCUUCGCCAGAUGGCUUUGUUUCUUGUGAUUGUUGUGGUGUCAGUGUACUAGAAGUCAAAUGUCCAUCUGUGUGAGAAAUGACUCAAAGUUAGACAACUUAAUAUAUUUGGAUAAGGACAGUGAAGGGAAACGGACUCUUAACAGAAACCACCAGUAUUUCUACCAAGUGCAAACUCAACUUGGAGUGUGCAAAAUGGAGUCAGCUUAUUUUGUUGUUUGGACUGAGAAGGACUUGCAUUUUGAGCAAAUUUUUUUUGAUGAAGAAUUCUGGGGCAUGACGUGUGAGAAGAUCAAGAACAUUUUUGAAACAGCCAUUUUGCCUGAGUUGGUUGGCAAGUUUUACACAAGGCUUUCUUCAACCUGUGCCGAUGCCUCCGCACAACCUGGAACAUCUGUUUCAGAUAAUUCACAUGACUUCAAUUGUGCUGCAAGUGCCACUGCACAAGAUCAAACUUGGUGUUUCUGUGGCCAAAUUGAGUUUGGAAGACUGAUUCAAUGUGACAGUGAUAAAUGUCAUAUUAAGUGGUUUCACUAUUCCUGCAUCAAUUUAAAGGUUGCACCAAAGGGAAAAUGGUUUUGUCCUCAGUGCCGAAAGCUACCUCAGUUUAUUACAAAAAAAGCAAAGAAAUCCCCAAAGUAAAAAACAGAAAAAAUAUACACAUUUUGGUUAGCUGCUGUGAAGUUUUGCUCAUCAGACUAACAUUGUAUGUUAAAUUAUUUAUAAUUAUAUUGUUGUGCAUUUGUUUUGGUAAAUGCAUCAUGUUCUGUACUAUUUUUGAUAUUGAAUUUAAAGUUAGAUUUUUGUAAACCUCUUCCAGUUUUACUGUGACUUCAGUUUAUGACACAUUAAUGUUUAAAAGUGUGAUAAAUUUUCUUUCCUUAAAUAAAUAUGUGCAGUGAUGACAGUGA